rnacentral:rRNA from 1 species
GACGACGCUGGGCGGCGUGGAUUAGGCAUGCAAGUCGAACGGUAUCAUCCUUUCGGGGGUGAGAGAGUGGCGAACUGGUGAGUAACACGUAGGUUAUCUACCCUCAAGACGGGGACAACCCAGGGAAACUUGGGCUAAUACCGGAUGUGAGCAACUUUUAGUUGUUUGAAAGGUGGCGUAAGCUGUCGCUUGGGGAUGAGCCUGCGUCCUAUUAGUUAGUUGGUGAGGUAACGGCUCACCUAGGCAAUGAUAGGUAGGCGGCCUUAACGGGUGGUCGCCCACACUGGGAUUGAGAUACGGCCCAGACUCCUACGGGAGGCAGCAGUCGAGAAUAGUCUACAAUGGUCGGAAGACUGAUAGUGCGACGCCGCGUGAGUGAAGAAGUAUUUCGGUAUGUAAAGCUCUAUCAGCAGGGAAGAAAGGCCCUUUUAGGGAGAUGACGGUACCUGACUAAGAAGCCCCGGCUAACUACGUG